rnacentral:misc_RNA from 1 species
AAGAAACCCUUGGCACUGGCACCUCUGGCAUGAACAACACGCUCUGGGAUUCUCUCACGAUCAAAAUUGGCAAUCUUCUCCAGCAGAUGAUAAUCCUCGAGAAGAAUUGGCCCUCUAGUUCCAACAGUCAAGGAAGAAUUGUUGUUAUACACAGGAGCACCAGAGUUAGUUGUCAUGAAGGGGGAAUUGGCAGCACUUGAAGGACGAUACUUGUAAGGAUCCAUGGCAAAAGAAAGAGAAAAAUAUUUAGACUGAAAGAGAGAAAACGGAAGAAGAAAUUUGCG